rnacentral:rRNA from 1 species
AAUCAACGCUGGCGGCGUGCCUCAGACAUGCAAGUCGAACGAUUAAGACUUCCUUCGGGAAGUGUAUAAAGUGGCGCACGGGUGAGUAACACGUAAGUAAUCUACCCUCGAGUGGGGAAUAACGUUCGGAAACGAACGCUAAUACCGCAUAAUGCAGCGGCAUCGCAAGAUGACAGUUGUUAAAGGAGUAAUUCGCUUGAGGAGGAGCUUGCGGCAGAUUAGCUAGUUGGUAAGGUAACGGCUUACCAAGGCUACGAUCUGUAUCCGGUCUAAGAGGACGGUCGGACACACUGACACUGAAUAACGGGUCAGACUCCUACGGGAGGCAGCAGUCGGGAAUUUUGGGCAAGGGGCGAAAGCCUGACCCAGCAACGCCGCGUGAAGGAUGAAGUAUUUCGGUAUGUAAACUUCGAAAGAAUGGGAAGAAUAAAUGACGGUACCAUUUAUAAGCUCCGGCUAACUACGUGCCAGCCGCCGCGGUAAAAC